AGCAGUCGCCGCGGUAAUACGUAGGGUGCGAGCGUUAAUCGGAAUUACUGGGCGUAAAGCGUGCGCAGGCGGUUGUGUAAGACAGGUGUGAAAUCCCCGGGCUUAACCUGGGAACUGCGCUUGUGACUGCACAGCUAGAGUAUGGCAGAGGGGGGUGGAAUUCCACGUGUAGCAGUGAAAUGCGUAGAGAUGUGGAGGAACACCGAUGGCGAAGGCAGCCCCCUGGGCCAAUACUGACGCUCAUGCACGAAAGCGUGGGGAGCAAACAGGAUUAGAUACCCCCGUAGUCCCUGUCUCUUAUAC
rnacentral:rRNA from 1 species